AUGUACCACUCGUACACUACGGUUCCUGCGCCGUCCACUUCCACUUGACGACUGCUCGCUACGCUUAGUUAGCC
rnacentral:sRNA from 1 species